UGGGCAAGUCACCAUCGUGAAUUAUUAGGAAAAGUAAGAACUUUGUGCUUAGUUUAGCUUUUCGGAUAAGUAGGGGAAAAAUUGUGUAGACGCUGUAGAAGUUGAGUUUAUUGAACUUGCUCGCAUCAGGCACACCUCUGCGAAAGACGUCCGGGAAACUGCGCCACUACCGUACCGUCAGUUGGUGCUAAAUCGUACCGCGGUGAUAACCUGAAAAGGUGAACGGAAAGGUGAAGGAUAAGGAGGA